rfam:Triticum urartu cultivar G1812 contig915148, whole genome shotgun sequence.
CAAGUACUCCCCCCGUUCUGAAUUACUUGUUGCAGGUAUGGAUGUAUCUAAAUGCAUUUUAGUUCUAGAUACAUCCAUUUAGGUGACGAGUAAUUUAGAACGGAGGGAGUAGUAC